AGUACAAGCAUGGAAGGCUUCCUGGAGGAGAGGGCAAUUGAGGUGGGCCUAGACAAACUGGGUGAGCCAGAUUUCCAAAAUCAGAAAUGCCAGGAAACAGAGGAUAUGGUAUGUAUAGAGGCCUGGGUAGUAGACCUGGAUAUGGAGAGAUGAGCACAGUUAUAUAAGCUACAGUACCAGAAAGGCCUGCGUUAUUUAGCUGGGCCUUUAGGUAUUGGUUGAGUUUUCCCUUGUAAACCUGGAGCUCAAUGUUGGAUUCCUUGUCAAUUCCUUCAGACCCUCCAAUGACGUUGUCUGUAGGCGGGGCCUACGACUGGGUGUCCAGGCAUCCGUACCACGUGACCAGGUAGAUACCGUUAAAGUCUGGAUUGUCCUGUGGGGCUUCCGUGGACAGUUUCCCGAGGAUAUGUGGGAAUAUGGCGGCACCCGCCUUCCGGGAUCAGAAAAUGACCUGUGGUGGAAAAGUCUGGGACUGGUCAGCAUGGGAGCCUGUACCAUGACUAGAGUGGAACUGGAAUUAACUCUCCUGAGCAUCCAACCAGGCAAUAGCAGGAUGAACUCGAGUGGAUGGUCAAAAGUCAACUCCAGGAAUGGAGGGAAUGUGGGAUGCAGCCCAGAUGACUUUCUAUUUCUGGUUCAAAAAUGGAUCUGAAGGGCCAGCAAGCUUCCUCAGGGGUGUCUGCGGAAUCUCUCUGGAAACCCGACCCCAUCAACUGUGCUGUGAAGCAAGAGGCAACCCAGGACUUCAGGCUUUUCCUUCUCCUGAGCAAGUUUCUGUUCUGGCCAACUCAGACACUGCGCAUGGAGGCUGCCAGGGCUCAGGCCUCAGUACUCAUCAGGACUCUUUACCAUUUGUCAAUGGUGCAGGCUGCAGGGGGCCUGCUGACUGGCAGUGCCAGAAAGGUCUCUGCUCUUUCUUGGCCUAUGCAAAGUCAAUUCUUUUGUGUGUGGUGAUUUAUUCAUUGAAAUACAGGUAAAGACAUUUGACAAUGUGACAGAGGGAAUUAAUGUGCUAAUUGGAAGUAUGCACUAUCCUAAGAUGUUCCUAUGGUGACUUUGAACCUUUAGUCUAAAUGGGUCCUUGUGGGUCCUGUAGUUUUCUAUUGGGACGCGAUUUGUGGAGAAGGUGGCAUCACACAACCUGAAGUUCGCUCACCUUAGGUCAAAUUCCACAUUUCUUUGGGAAGAGACCCUAAUGUGUCUACCUUUUACUCAGUACAUUGUCAUUCAUACCCUUUUGACUUGUCCCUGCCAUUGGUUAACUUACUUUUAAUCCUUGGAAUAUGAGAGUCAUUUUUAUUUUCCACCAAAUAUAAAAUUGAGGCCUGAGAUCCAUGGAAAAACGUUAUCCCAACCCAUGUUUGUUAACCAAAUAUUGUGAUGAUCACCAAGGAUGUCUUAUUUCUUAGUCCAAAAUCCCUUGUGAAACUUGAGGUAACUGUGAUGCUUCCCGCCUGUUGCACAUGCACGUGUUGUGCCCUCUGCCUCUGCAAUGUCACCGCCAUCUUUGGUCUUCUUGUUUUUUGUGAGUGGGGAAUCCUUGGGUGAAGACCGAAAUGCAUGCCUUGGUGGAUAGGUACACUUAGUAAUAGCAUGGAAGCAGCAUUCUCAAGGUAGAGGAUGCCAAAAGGGCAUCUCCAUAAUUGCUGGCAGUCUCACGGUUCCAAGCCUUCAGUGAAAGAGAAGGUGGACUUCCUCAGAAUUUAAGUUGAUACCUGGUUUCCCUGGACCUUUCCCAGGAGUUCAUUCCUAGGCCAGCCUUGUCACUUAGUUUUUUCUGGUGUGUAGUCAUUGAAUAUUUACUCACUAGUGAUAAUGGUAAUGUGCUGUAAAUUCUUGGUGUGCAGUAUUUCACAUCACACUCCAAUUUGCCUUAAAGUGCUUUUUCAUGCAUGUUUCUUAUAUGAGUGCUAGGAAGAGAGUGGAUUAUAUUGGCCACUACAAGGCAAGGCCUUUGACUGAAACUCUGUAGAUUAUUUAAGUAGAGGGAGACAAUUUAUUUUGCUACUAUUUGAUGAAAUGGUACAACAUACAUAAGGGCUGAUGUGCUCACUUUUCAUCUGGUUGUGAAAUGACUUUUCAGAUUAUACACUGGCUAUAUAGACAUGUAUAAAGUUGAGAGAUUUCAGGAGAAUAUAAUGAAAUUUAAUCCACUGAAAUCCCUAUUUGUAGACUUCUAAUCACUGUGACCAUUUUGUAUGAUUUGCAGUGAGGCUUUUCCCUGACAGUACCUAUUUUGUAGGUUCUGACCCUUGUCAUGGCUGUUUAUGAAGUAAAUUUCUGAUUCCCCAGCAAGAAAUUUGAAAAAAGCCUUUGAUACUGUUUGUUACUUUAGAGGCACAAUGUUAGCCCUCAGAAUUGAAGGCCUGGAUCUCCCACCUUAAAUACCAACACUUGUCUUCCUGGUGCCUAAGUGUCUAUGCUUGAACUAAGGCACAGACACAGGUAUAGGCAUUAGGCAUGGAGAACAAUGCAACUGCCUGUACUUCUUGUAAGACUGGUUCCCUGUUUGGCAUGUCCAGUCAUGUAACUGAGACAGCACUGGUCGUUUUGAGCAGGACCUUGGGCUACUGGAAAUGAUGGUGAUGGUUGUGACAAUGAUGUUGACGGUAGUGGUGAUGAUGCUAAAAAAAAUCACUGGGGCUAUGACUGAUGGAAAGGUCACUAGAACCAAGCGCUCUUCUCAGUUCAUUGGGUUCUCACCUCAUCCUCUAAAAACCAUGAGUUAAAUGUAUUAUUAUUCCUAUUUUACAGAGUACAUUAAUGAUUACAGAACCUUGCCAUGGUAACAAAGGCAGGAUCCUUUAGGAGGGGGAAUAAGAUCCAGCUUCAGAUGGUUCUGAAUCCGUGGUAUUAAUCACAUGCUGUGAGAACUUUUAACAGUGCUUUUGUUGCUUGAAAAAGUAAUAGUUACCCCACCCUCUGUCUCCUGUUCAUUCUGGUCCAUGUGGAUAUCCAGAGGUCACACUGGGUGUUUUUGUAGCAAUAGACAUACAUGCUGAUGACAAUGGUCCUCAAAAGCCAGGGCAAUACACCUUCAACUAAUAAAUUUCAUGGCUGGAUCCCCAGCCACUUUGAUGAUCUGUUCUUUGAUGGGAAGAAUUAUAGGGGUUCGAGGGUGAGACAGAGGUAGAGACUUCUGUGAUCAGGAAAGAUGGAAUGACACAUUGCGUAUGGUUGCUCCGUCGGGGGCCUAUUGACUCUAGGUGGGAAAGGGCUGGGAACAGUGGCACUGGGCAGAGCUGCUGGGAGAGGUGGUGGCUGAGGGACUCUGGCGGGGAUGUUCUCACAGGCUUUAUGUGUUUAAGGGAGUGUCUCCAGCCCCUUCCCCAUGCCUGGCACUGCACCAGAGGGUAUUGUUGAGUGUGACUUGGGAAAGUCUGGCUCUUGGGCAAAGAUGAGACUAUUAUGGGGGCAGAACUUGGCUGUCCAUUAUCAAUGAGAAUUCUGAACUUCGCUGUUAGUGAAAGCUUAGCAAUUUCUGGCUCAUUAGGUGCACUUCCUUAGCCUAUGACAAAUGACUUGGAGGAACGUGUUAUUAUAUGGUAUCGUCGUAGAGUAAUCCGGGGGACUCUUCUGAGAGGCACCUGUGGUUGUUUUGGGGGACAUUUCUCCCUUGGAUGGUCUCACCACUGAGUCUUUCAUGCUGAUAGUGAGCUGUGUUCACCAGCAGAGACCGAUGAAAGUGGACUGCUUUUCACUGCCUUAGCCUAUGUCAAAUGGCUGGAGGAAAUGUGACACUUCCCCUAUUAUAUUGUAGCCCCAUAGGGUAAUCUGGGGGAGUCUCCUUAGAGACCCCUGUGAUUGUUUCUGGGGGACAUUUCUCUCUUGGAUGGUCUCACCACUGAGUCUUUCAUGCUGAUAGUGAGCUGUGUUCACCAGCAGAGACCGAUGAAAGUGGACUGCUUUUCACUGCCUUAGCCUAUGUCAAAUGGCUUGAGGAAAUUUGACCCUUCACCUAUUGUAUUGUAGCCUCAUAGGGUAAUCUGGGGGAGUCUUCUUAGAGGCACCUGUGGUUGUUUGUGGGUGAUCCUGUUCUUUUGGAUGACCUCACCACUGAGUCUUUCUCGCUAAUACUGGGCUGUGUUCACUAGCAGACACUUAUGAAAGUGAACUGCUAUUGCUGAUAGUUCCUCAGAAUUUACUUGACCUCCUUCCUCCUUCCGUGUUGGGUGGCUCCAAAGCCUUGUGUAAAUUCCUACAGGAACGAGACAGCUUCACCAGCAGUAUCUGUAGCAAGUAGAAUUUUGAAUCCAGUCUCCACUGGACACAGGUGAUGGCCAGUGGUCAGACUGUGUCCUCCUACACUAAUGUGCUGAACAGAAGGGGUUGCACUAUGCACCCCAAGGGUGGCCCAAGGGUCAUGAGCACUCCUGUUUCAGAGAGUGGGAAUGAAGUUGGCAUUUUGGCCAAGCAUUUCUCUAUUAGCUUCCUACACUCUUCCGUUGAUCAUACUCUGCAUGUUGGUGGGAAGGAAAAGUCACAUGGGUUCCGCCACUGACCAGUAUAUGAAGCUGGUGACGUUGGGAUCCUCAUGCAAUUCUCUCCUUGAGCCUGGUGUCCAGGAACCUUCCGAGUUAUGUUAGGUGUCCAGAAUGGCAGUUCAACCUGUCUUAUUGGUCAUGCUGAAAGGGGCACAUCCCUGUCAGCUGAAGCUCUAACGUUUCCCGUCUACUGAUGUAAACUGUCACUACUUUGUGGUCUAACCCAUAAGUCACUUUUCUUCUCAGAGGGGUGUUUACAUAGGCACAAGAAGUUGCCUGAACCCUCAAGACUGUCCUAGACAGCUCAGUGAGGGAUUCAUGCAUCUUGUGUAGUACUACAGCCACUGACACUGUUAAAGGACAGGAGGGAGUUGCAAUGUGAGGAGGGGAGGGCUCCGUGGUGUCCCUAUUUCAGGGUAUUCCAGGGUCCUAGAAGGAAUGUCAGGAGUCUCCUGUGCAUGAGGAGAGUAUAGGGAGUUUGGAGGACAUGGGAGUUGGGGGUGAAUAUCGUGAUGGGCAAUAGCGUUCAAGGAGGCACCUGCCUCCUGUGCCCCUUCCCCUCCCUUGCAGCACGUGUGGGUCGGCAUAGCUGGGGAACCAAAGACAAAAAUGUACCUUGAUGGAGGUGAUGGGUAAAAUAUUUGCCUUGGGAAGUUGAUACAUUUAUGAUGGGGGCAGGUCCUUGUUUUCCCUUUCCCAGUCAUUGGGGGUUUGGGUGUUGUUGACAUCUUGACUGUGUCCCCUCCUCUGUGCACUUCUUUGGACCUGUGAAAAACGGCCACAGACGUAGGUGGGGCUUCACUCUCUUAUAUUGUUGCAUAGUGCAACAGUGGGAGGGAGUACUGGGCAGGAUGUGCUGUUGCUUUUGCUGGUACUUCUGUAUCCUUCCUGGCACACUGUAUUCUCUCAUCUCCUUUGUAUUCCAGGGUUUUCUCCUGUAACUAUAGGGAGCCUUAGGUGCUGCCUGUGCUGUGCAUUUGCCUAUUUUGCAGUCCCACCCUGAUGAGUUUCUGGGUUCAGCUGCUUAAGGUGUCCCCUGUGUACCGAGCUCUCACGCAGUCCAAAUAUGUUACUGUCAGGUCCUCGUCCAUGCCUUAUUGUAAAAGUGGCAGAGGCAUAUGUAGUUUUUCAAAAUGUUUAUGACAUUUUAGAGAGGUACAUGGAGAACUUGACAAUUGCCAGUUUUAUAAGGGAAAUGCUCUAAGAAAAGUGAAAGGUUAGGUUUCUUUUCUCAACAGGGAGGUGUAAACUUUCAUUUCCCUUUUUACUUUGUCACUGGGUCAGGCACCAUGACUUAUUGUGUACUAUGUCUCAUUAAUAUCUUCUUUCUUGGCAGAGAAUGUAUUUUACAGACCACCUGUUAAAUUAUGCUGACUAAUUCUGGUUUCUUUGCCUAAGAAAUGUGUUUGCUGAUUUGGUCUUGGAUUUUGUAAGGUCCUUGUGUUCUUACAAU